rnacentral:rRNA from 1 species
CACGCCCUAAACGAUGUCAACUGGUUGUUGGGAGGGUUCCUUCUCAGUAACGUAGCUAACGCGUGAAGUUGACCGCCUGGGGAGUACGGCCGCAAGGUUAAAACUCAAAGGAAUUGACGG